rnacentral:rRNA from 1 species
GUUUGAUCCUGGCUCAGGACGAACGCUGGCGGCGUGCUUAACACAUGCAAGUCGAACGGAAAGGCCCUGCUUUUGUGGGGUGCUCGAGUGGCGAACGGGUGAGUAACACGUGGGCAACCUGCCCAAAAGAGGGGGAUAACACUUGGAAACAGGUGCUAAUACCGCAUAACCAUAGUUACCGCAUGGUAACUAUGUAAAAGGUGGCUAUGCUACCGCUUUUGGAUGGGCCCGCGGCGCAUUAGCUAGUUGGUGAGGUAAAGGCUUACCAAGGCAAUGAUGCGUAGCCGAACUGAGAGGUUGAUCGGCCACAUUGGGACUGAGACACGGCCCAAACUCCUACGGGAGGCAGCAGUGAGGAAUAUUGGUCAAUGGACGCAAGUCUGAACCAGCCAAGUAGCGUGCAGGAUGACGGCCCUCCGGGUUGUAAACUGCUUUUAGUUGGGAAUAAAGUGCAGCUCGUGAGCUGUUUUGUAUGUACCAUCAGAAAAAGGACCGGCUAAUUCCGUGCCAGCAGCCGCGGUAAUACGGAAGGUCCAGGCGUUAUCCGGAUUUAUUGGGUUUAAAGGGAGCGCAGGCGGACUCUUAAGUCAGUUGUGAAAUACGGCGGCUCAACCGUCGGACUGCAGUUGAUACUGGGAGUCUUGAGUGCACACAGGGAUGCUGGAAUUCAUGGUGUAGCGGUGAAAUGCUCAGAUAUCAUGAAGAACUCCGAUCGCGAAGGCAGGUAUCCGGGGUGCAACUGACGCUGAGGCUCGAAAGUGCGGGUAUCAAACAGGAUUAGAUACCCUGGUAGUCCACGCCGUAAACGGUGGAUGCUGGAUGUGGGGCCCGUUCCACGGGUUCCGUGUCGGAGCUAACGCGUUAAGCAUCCCGCCUGGGGAGUACGGCCGCAAGGCUAAAACUCAAAGGAAUUGACGGGGGCCCGCACAAGCGGCGGAGCAUGCGGAUUAAUUCGAUGCAACGCGAAGAACCUUACCUGGGCUUGACAUGUUCCCGACGGCCGUAGAGAUACGGCUUCCCUUCGGGGCGGGUUCACAGGUGGUGCAUGGUCGUCGUCAGCUCGUGUCGUGAGAUGUUGGGUUAAGUCCCGCAACGAGCGCAACCC